UCGGGAAUUUUGGGCAAUGGGCGAAAGCCUGACCCAGCAACGCCGCGUGAAGGAUGAAGUAUUUCGGUAUGUAAACUUCGAAAGAAUAGGAAGCGGUACUAUUUAUAAGUCCGGCUAACUACGUGCCAGCGCCGCGGUAAUACGUAGGGAGCAAGCGUUGUUCGGAUUUACUGGGCGUAAAGGGCGCGUAGGCGGCGCGGUAAGUCACUUGUGAAAUCUCUGAGCUUAACUCAGAACGGCCAAGUGAUACUGCAGUGCUAGAGUGCAGAAGGGGCAAUCGGAAUUCUUGGUGUAGCGGUGAAAUGCGUAGAUAUCAAGAGGAACACCUGAGGUGAAGACGGGUUGCUGGGCUGACACUGACGCUGAGCGCGAAAGCCAGGGGAGCAAACGGGAUUAGAUACCCGUGUAGU
rnacentral:rRNA from 1 species